AUGGUUGGACACACAUGGAUCCACAGCUUGUUAAUAGUGACAGGGCUUCAGUUCACAGGAGCUGCUUUGAUCAGACGUGGAGACGACGUCUCGUUCCCUUGUAACAAUCUGAUCCCUGAUCAGAGUCAGUGUAACACCACCACCUGGCUCUACAGUGUCUCAGGACCAGCACUAGUGGAGCUGGUUACACUUGGGAAGAUUAGAGAAAACGAUGCAUCUAAAUCCAACAGACUGAGUUUAACAGAGAACUGUUCUCUGGUCAUAAAGCAGAUCACAGAUCAGGAUGCUGGUCGUUACACCUGCAGACAGUAUAAUAAAUCAGGACGACAACAAGGUGUAGAUGCUGCUGUUGACUUGUCUGUUGUUACCUUGACUCAACAUGAACACGAUGAUGAGGUGACGUUAAACUGUCACGUGUGGACGAAUAGUCAGUGCAGACACACAGUAAAGUGGCUGUUUGAGGAUAAAGACCUGGAAAAGACUUCAAUAAAGUCAUCAGAGUCUCUCUGUGACGCUGCUGUUACUUUUAGUAGAAGUUCCUUCUAUUCAUCGCGCUCCAUUACUUCAUUUACGUGUGAAGUGAGAGAUGGUCACAAUCAUCAAAGCUCCACCUUCAACCUUCAGCCUCAAGAUGCAGCAACAGCAGCGACUGAAUCCUCCGUUUCAAGCAGCACAGCAGCAGGUGAAGACCCAACAUUUAACACUAAUGGAUUAAAAGACUGGUUGUGGUUGUUCAUCGGUGCAGCGGUGGCUUUGGUGACGCUUCUCCUGCUGGCCGUCAUCGGAUGGAAGAGAACUAGAGGCAGGAGCUUUCACACUGAAUGUGACGCCUGGAAGGUUUAA
rnacentral:lncRNA from 1 species